rnacentral:rRNA from 1 species
GGAUAACGUUCCGAAAGGAACGCUAAUACCGCAUACGUCCUACGGGAGAAAGCAGGGGACCUUCGGGCCUUGCGCUAUCAGAUGAGCCUAGGUCGGAUUAGCUAGUUGGUGAGGUAAUGGCUCACCAAGGCGACGAUCCGUAACUGGUCUGAGAGGAUGAUCAGUCACACUGGAACUGAGACACGGUCCAGACUCCUACGGGAGGCAGCAGUGGGGAAUAUUGGACAAUGGGCGAAAGCC